rnacentral:rRNA from 1 species
AACGAACGCUGGCGGCAGGCUUAACACAUGCAAGUCGAGCGCCCCGCAAGGGGAGCGGCAGACGGGUGAGUAACGCGUGGGAACGUACCCUUUGCUACGGAAUAGCUCCGGGAAACUGGAAUUAAUACCGUAUGUGCCCUACGGGGGAAAGAUUUAUCGGCAAAGGAUCGGCCCGGGUUGGAUUAUCUAGGUGGUGGGGUAAUGGCCUACCAAGCCGACGAUCCAUAGCUGGUCUGCGAGGGUGAUCAGGCACAUUGGGGCUGUGACACGGCCCAAACGCCUACGAGAGGCAGCAGUGGGGAAUAUUGAACAAUGGGCGCAAGCCUGAUCCAGCCAUGCCGCGUGAGUGAUGAAGGCCUUAGGGUUGUAAAGCUCUUUCACCGGAGAAGAUAAUGACGGUAUCCGGAGAAGAAGCCCCGGCUAACUUCGUGCCAGCCGCCGCCGUAAAAC